rnacentral:lncRNA from 1 species
CAUCAUCAAAAUCACUUAGGGGAUCAGCAAUCUCUCUCUUUUUGAUGAUGACAAAACAUUGAGCACUCAUUAAAGAAUAAUUAAUAUAAACAAGAUAUACAAUAUAUAUAAGUAAUUAUAAGGCAAUCAAAUGCUUCAACUUUUUAUAUUUUCAAUAAUGCUCCCCCUCACAUUGUGCUGCAUGAAAAUUAUUUUUAAUUUCAAAUUUUUAAGUUCUAAUUAUGCUCCCCCUU